AUGUUGUUACAGGUUAAAAUUGGCAUUUUAUACUCUUUAUUAAAAGCACUGAUUACAGUUAUAUUUUCAAAAUAGAUAUUUUACAAAUAUUAAUGAUUGAUACUAGUAAUGCCCUCUCUGUAAUAGCCUCCCAAGUAACCCAUAGUUCUGUUCUCUAGCCAUUUCAAAUUACAGUAUUCUUUUUUUUAAGGACACAUUUAGUUUUGUACAUUUCAGCUUCAUAUUGUACUGGUUGUUAAUGAAAUUUUAUUUAUACUCUUAUAAAACCCGGUUCUGGACUAAAGAAAUAUUUUAGAAUUUAAAUUAUAUCCCAUAUUGCUUAUUCCAUACUUUAUUUAAUUAUUUUAUAACGAAUAAUGAUUAAUUGGGCAUGUACAAUUAUUGUGUAUGUUGUACUGUUCAUAGUACAAUAUCUGAUUUUGGCUUGACCAUACCAGAUAUGCUGGUUGAUUUUACUCGGACUGACCUAUCUAAUUUUUGUCUCUUUUUAUCUAAUGUAAAUAUUAGUUUUCUUGGAAGAUAGCAAGAAGUUGCUGGUCUAGGCAAAAUCGAAAUUGAUUGUCAUAGUGACACAUAUUUUCAUUGCCAACUUCCUUGGGCCACAAAUUUUGUUAUUUAUUUUUUAUAAAAGGUUUUAUGGUACUUAUAAAAAAAAGUUAAGUUAUUUUGUUAUAUAUUUCGAUUGGCAAUACACUUUGUGCGUGAUUGCUUAAAUACGGGUUUGACCUCUGCGGUCGUCCCUUUUCCCAGACCGCCGUCAUGAAGUGAAGAGUGCUUUAGUUCUUUUUGAAAUUCCUGUGAAUUUUACCCAUAUGGGGAUAUAAUUGACUAAAUGUGGUGAUAGUAAAUCAACUUUUUGGGCGUAAUGCUGUAAUUUGUUGUUUUGUUGAAUUUACUGGCCUUUAUGGCGAUUUAAAACCUAAUAAUUUUUCACGUGCCCUCGAACAUCGGUAAAAUAGCGGUUCUGAUUGGCAUUGGCAGGGGACAAUUUAAUUAGCAAAGCUACAUAACAUGGAUUUUGGACGGAUUUUUUUUGUACGGACCUGAUUUCUUCAUGCCACAUGGUGCUUUCGUUUUGGGGUUAUGUACUCUAAUGGCUCUAAUCUAGAGGAGAUUUUAAGCAACUGUGAGCUAACGUCUAACCUAGACCACUAUCAGAGCUUGGCGUAUUGUGAAGUGGAAGAGGUGAAGCUUGGAAGCCUGCAUUUUUUUUUUUUGACUGGGAAUUGGGUGUCUGGGAGAGUCUCGAAUCUGAAGUAGUCUGCUGUGUGUGGAGCUAGGUGACACAACAUAACAUUUUUUUAUUCACUUAUUUUAUUUUUAUUAUCACAACUUUUAUCUUUUGAGUUGAGAUACAUACAUAAGCUUAUUUAAAAUUUUAUUGACAUUAUUUAAUCGAUGCUAUUUUAUUAUUGAAUAUUACUGAUAAGAGUACAUAAAUAUGUGACAAGUGACUCCUGUGAGGUAAGACGCAGCCGGCUUCGUAGUACUACGAGUAUAUACUUGGGUUAUAUUAUUUAUUUUCAGACUACUCCUAAGAUGUCAAAUUUUCUCAGAUUAGCUAGUAAAUAUUAGAGUAAACUAAUAAAAGGGUAAUUUUAAGUAGGGAAGCUUCAACAGUUAGGGUUGUUAUUUUUUUUUUUGCUUAGGUCAAUGUCCGUGGCGGGAUAUACCGGGCCAUGUAAAUUAUUAGUUUAAUUGAAUUGAAGCUUCAUUCCCCAAAAGGUUUGGGUGUAACAUAAUUUAUUUUAUUUUGACAACCACACUUUGAUUGUGUAUUUUUUGUGUGAUGUUGUGGUUCCUUAUUACCAACUUAAAUAAUUAUUCCUCUUAACAAUAAAUAACAUAACAUAAUUCUCUGUGAUAAUCAAGACUUAAAUAAAUUGUUAUUUUCUGUUGUUAA
rnacentral:lncRNA from 1 species